CUGAGACACAUUCAACACAUUAGAAACCAAUCAGAACCAAAAGUUUGUCUUUUGGUUCUGAUUGGUUGUUUCUGGACAGUAGCAGAGCCAGAGGACUUUUCA